UGCACGACACGUAAGUGGCCAGAGAGUGUCUGGAGUCUGUCUGAAACUGAUAAAAAUGGUGAUGGAGUUUAUCCAGAGUCUCGCUCAUAGUCAUUAGAAAGACAAAGGGAGGCAGAGCGGAAUUUUACAAUCAUCCACCACUGUAGUCAUUUGGUAGCUUGAAAACUAGAUUCUAUUGUAGCGCAUUUCAAAGUUUCAUUCCAUGUUUUUCACCAGACAGACAGUUCAUUAAUUCACAGGCAGGAGGAUUACAUUUCUGAUGUCUUCCGAUGACCUCUUGGAGCUGUCACAGAUUCAGCUACACUUAAAGGUGAUACCUGUGUUCUGCAGUUGUGCUGCCGUGCUGACGGAUAGUGAAGAGGAACAGAGAUGAUGUGUCUGCAGAGAUGAUACAGAUUCCUCCAUCAAAGCCAGGACACUGUCGGGGUCCGGAUCCUAGCAGAGUGGACACUUUGAAAACGCCGGGAGGAUAGAGUUGAUAGGUUUUAAUGCCUUUAAUUCUAAAGCGUCUGAUCGUUCUGGCGUAAAUAAGUCUCCUUUCAGUCGACGCAGUCUCGCUGUCCCUGACCCACCGUGCAUGUGGCGUCCUCCACAAACCUAAUUAAGGCUCUUUAGAUGGGAUCAAGUUAAUUGAAUGCUGCUCCCAUCUUGAGACCCUUUUUGGAGAAAAUGGCUUCAUUGACAGUCAAAGCUUUAGCCUUGUAUCUCUCUCCAGUCAUCCCACCUUGAAGAUUUCAGUAAAUCGGAGAGACAAAACGGUUUUGCCUGCUUGACUAGACCUUUUCCCCCAACUAACGUUAAAAAUCAUUGAUGAUGCUUAAAAUAUUUUUAGACGUGUAAUGUCAGAUGGCUUUUCAAAUGCAAGAAAGUGUCACAGGUGCAUUUUCACUUUCACAAAUACCAAGCAUUUUCUCUCCGUGAAAACUCGCAUUUAGAGUGCCUCUCAGACAUGUCAGCCCACAUUAUAUUUCAUUAACAUCACGGAUCAAACGCAUUUUCUCAGACUGGUUUGUGCCCAGUUGUCAGUAACUUUUACAAAAGCGAAAAAAAAAAUCUUGUCUACACUGUUAUGAAUUGUUAGAAAUAUUUCUUUAUGUUUGAUCUGGAAUAAGUUGUAUUUACAUUAAUUAAUUCACUUUUGGGGGGUUCAAAUGAAAAAUUGGAAUGAUUGAAAACAUUUUUACAAAAAAGUUGUAAAAAAUAUUUUAUAUGAAAACAAGUGUGCGUAAUUUUAUGCAUUAUGCUAUCUGUAUUGUAUUUGUGAAUGAAGGCUACAGCCAUGCAUAAACUUCUUUCACUUUGUUCCAAAUUGUUCAUUUCAUGUCAUUUACAUGUUGUUCAUUUGUUGUAGUCUGUGUUAGGGACAGAUGUUACUCAAAUGUUCAUUUUGUUUUAUGGGCGGUUUGUUCUUACCUUAUUUUACUAAAACGAAGUUAGCACGUUUCUACUGAAUAUUCUACUAUAGUAAUAUGAUUUUUAAGUGAUUUAUUUAGAAAAGGUACGAGAUUUUUUUUUCUAUUAAUGACUUCAAAAUUGUUGAUUCUUCAAAAUAAAUGUCAUUAAAUUUUAUUGCGUAUGUCAUGUUUUAAACAUUACUAAAGGGUCUGUUUCUUUAAACUAACAAAACACGCUUAGUCUUUAAUUCAGAAUUUCUGUUUAGGUAAUGUCAAUUUAUACGAACUUAACGUUGUAGCAUGAGACCAGAAUUCGUUAAUAAUACCUAGUACCAUUUCAUGUUAUCAUUUCCAGUUAAUCUAAUAAUUAAUAAGCU